GCCUUCUUGGUGUAGUGGUCAGCACGUUCGACGUGUAACCGAGAGGUCCGUGGUUCGAUUCUCGGCGAAGGCG
rnacentral:tRNA from 1 species